UACAGAGGUCUCAAGCGUUGUUCGGAUUCAUUGGGCGUAAAGGGUGCGUAGGCGGCGCGGUAAGUCGGGUGUGAAAUCUCGGAGCUUAACUCCGAAAACUGCAUUCGAUACUGCCGUGCUUGAGGACUGGAGAGGAGACUGGAAUUUUACGGUGUAGCGGUGAAAAUGCGUAGAUAUCGUGAGGAACACCAGAGGCGAAGGCGGCUACCUGGACAAUUGCUGACACUCAGGCACGAAAGCGUGGGGGAGCAAAAAGGG
rnacentral:rRNA from 1 species